rnacentral:rRNA from 1 species
AAACUAGGAUUAGAUACCCUAUUAUUUAUGAAGCUAAACAUUGUAAGUAAAUGUUAAUUAUGAAAGCAAAAAAUUAUGGCGGUAUCUUAAGCUUUUCAGAGGAAUUUGCUCUAUAAUGGAUAAAACGCCUAAACCUUACUUUGACUAGUAAAAUCAAUUUGUAUACCACUAUUAAAAUAAUAACAUACAACUAUUAUUUCAAUAUAAUUUAUAUAAAAAAUUAAGUCAAGGUGCAGUAAAAGUCAAUGAAUGAAGUGAAUUACAUUUCUUUUUAGAAAAGAAAAAUGAAAAGUAAAUUAGGAUUUGAAAGUAAAAUUAAAAUAAAAUGUUAAUUUGAAUUAAGCUCUAAGAUAUGUACAUAUCGCCCGUCACUCUUUUUAAGAUAAGUCGUAACAAAGUUAAAAUACUGGAAAGUGUUUUAAAAAAAAAAAAAAUGAAAUCAUUAGAUGUUUCACUUACAAUGAAAAUUUGUAUUAAUAUACCAUUUUUUUUUUAAAUUAUAACAAAAUUAUAACAUAGAAAGUAAUUUUAUUAAAAUUUAUUAAUUAAUUAAUUAUAAUAAAACUGUAAAGGAAUUUUUUUUUUUAAAAAUUUAAAAGUAAAUUCAAUGUACCUUUUGCAUAAGGGAUUUUUAAAAAAAAUUAAAAUUUUAAUUUUCUCGAAAUAAAUUGAUCUAAAAUAAAAUAUGUAAUUUAUGUUUCAUUAUAAAUUUUAAUUUUAUUUUAGUUGUGAAAUGCUUGUCAAAAUUUAAGAUAACUAGUUUAAAAAAAAAAUUUAAUAUUAACCUAUAAAUAAAUUUUUUAUUAUUAAUUUUAUAGGUAAAAAUCUUAGGGAUAAGCUGAAGAUUAAAUUUUUAAUAAUUAAAGUAAGUUUUAAUAUAAGAAAUAUAAUUGUUCUUUAUAUUGUUAUAAGUAAAUUAAAAUAAUAGUUUAUAAUUAAUUUAUUUUUAAAUAUAAAAUAAAGAAUUUUUUUUUAUUUUAGAAUAUGAAAAUAUUAGUAAAAUUAUUUAAAAUUAAAAAUAAAAAAAAAAGUUAAAAGUUAUAAAUUUAUAAAAUAAAAUAAGUUUAAAUAAUUCGGCAAAAUUUUUCUUUGACUGUUUAAUAAAAACAACUUAUUCAGAUUUUAAUUUUAUUGAAUAUAAAUCCUGCUCAAUGAUUUUUUUUUUAAAUUGCUGUAGUAUUUUGACUAUACAAAGGUAUUGUAAUAAGAUUUUAAUUGAAUGCUAAGAGAAUGGAAUUUCAGGGAAAAACUGUUUUAAACUUAAAAAUUAAAUUUAUUUUAAUUUGUGAAGAAACAAUUAUUUAAAUUAAGGACAAGAAGACCCUAAGAAUUUUAAAGAUAAUAAUUUUAAUAUUAAAAUUAUUAUCUUUUGGUUGGGGCAACUAAAAAAGAUUAUAAACUUUUUAUUUAAUAAAAUGAUCCAUUAUUAAUGAUAAUUUGAUAAAAAUACUCUAGGGAUAACAGCGUAAUAAUUUUUGAUAGAACAUAUAGACAAAAUAGUUUGCGACCUCGAUGUUGGAUUAGGAUACUUUUUUAAUGAAGAUGUUAAAAAAAGAAGUUUGUUCAACUUUUAAAGUCCUACUUGAUCUGAGUUCAGACCGG